GCUGUGCAGUGAUGAUAACUGUGGCUCCCUCUACUGAGAUUUGUGAGGAAAAGCACCAUAAUGUUACCCAUAUGUCUGAGUGUACAGC